rnacentral:rRNA from 1 species
UACGUAGGGGCCUAGCGUUGUCCGGAUUUAUUGGGCGUAAAGAGCUCGUAGGCGGCUUGGUAAGUCAGGUGUGAAAUCUCCACGCUCAACGUGGAGGGGCCACCUGAUACUGCCAUGGCUUGAGUCCGGUAGGGGAGUGUGGAAUUCCCGGUGUAGCGGUGAAAUGCGCAGAUAUCGGGAGGAACACCCGUAGCGAAGGCGGCACUCUGGGCCGGUACUGACGCUGAGGAGCGAAAGCGUGGGGAGCAAACAGG